rnacentral:rRNA from 1 species
AUGAACGCUGGCGGCGUGCCUAAUACCUGCAAGUCGAGCGAACGGACGAGAAGCUUGCUUUUCUGAUGUUAGCGGCGGACGGGUGAGUAACACGUGGAUAACCUACCUAUAAGACUGGGAUAACUUCGGGAAACCGGAGCUAAUACCGGAUAAUAUUUUGAACCGCAUGGUUCAAAAGUGAAAGACGGUCUUGCUGUCACUUAUAGAUGGAUCCGCGCUGCAUUAGCUAGUUGGUAAGGUAACGGCUUACCAAGGCAACGAUGCAUAGCCGACCUGAGAGGGUGAUCGGCCACACUGGAACUGAGACACGGUCCAGACUCCUACGGGAGGCAGCAGUAGGGAAUCUUCCGCAAAGGGCGAAAGCCUGACGGAGCAACGCCGCGUGAGUGAUGAAGGUCUUCGGAUCGUAAAACUCUGUUAUUAGGGAAGAACAUAUGUGUAAGUAACUGUGCACAUCUUGACGGUACCUAAUCAGAAAGCCACGGCUAACUACGUG